GGGAGAAACGUGUAAACUCCACACAGGCAGCACCCGGGGUCAGGAUCGCACCAGGGUCUCGGGCGCUGUCGGGCAGCAGCUCCACCAGCCGCGCCACUGUUCAGUUUAUUUUUCCCCAUCCUUCCAGUCCACAUGCAAACAGUGUUUCCAGGGGCUGGAGAUAGAGUUGAAGUUGAGUCGGGAGUUUGGUAGGUUGACAAUUUAGCAGCGGGCAAGACAAGACUGCCACGCGGCACUGGUCGAGGGUGGGUUCAGGUUAGUGAACGAGAAGUGAUAAAGUAACAGUAGAAUGAAAUGUAGAAUGAAUGAAUAGGAAUGAAAAGCAGAAUGUCCCAGACAGAGGUAGGACAUGUAAUUGGAACAGUGCCUCAGAGAAAGGCAAACAGUGUGGUGAGGGGGGAUGGGAGUAAAGAGCCAGGAUUGCAUGUUCUUUACAUGAAUACAUCAAGCAUUCACUGCAGGUUAAAUUAAUUUGUGGCAUAAAUACGAAAAAAUGGAUUGACCCAAUAUUCUUCAUCUUGCGUGUGCGUGCAUAGCCUAAAGUUGUAGAUCAAGGGUAGACAUCCAGGCCAGGACAGCAUCAGUUACUGGGUGGAUGGCUUUGAUGCCACCAGGGAAAAGCCUCAGUGGGCAGUCAUUCAUGAUGUGUGGGGUGGUCUGGUCUGGAUGUCCGCAGUUGCAAGCAGGGCUGUCUGUCAUCCCUCACUUAUGCAGGUGAUGGGCUGUUCUUGCAUGGAGGGCGCGGAUUCUGUUCAGGGUUCGCCAUUGCUUGCGAUGGAGGUCAAAACCUGGUGGUUUCACUGUGCUCUCACCGUUGUUGGUGUUGGCAUCUUUCCAGGCUCUGCACUACUCAGCCUUGACUAUGAAUUUGGAUUGAGAUAGAACUGAAAAGGGACAGAAAGUGGAUAGUGGGGACUCAGCAGCUAAAAGGGCUGUUUCUGCAUGGUGUACCUCUAUGACUCCUUGACAAGGACAAUAAAGUGUUGGUCCAAUUUGGGAUAUGUUAGGAUCCAUUCAUAUGUAACUGGAUAGGGUUAAUUAACAAUCUCAUGCUUGGAUAUCCCCUCGGGAAUAGUGAGUAUAACAUUAUGGAACUUCACAUUUAGUUUGAGAUUGACAAGUUUAAGUCUGAAGCUAAAGAUUUAAACUUAAAUCAAGGCAAUUACACAGGGCACAAUGGGAAAGUUAGAUGAAAUAGAUUGGGAACUUAAACUAAAAGGUUAUAUGGUUCGUAGGUUGUGGCAGACAGAAGGAUUUUUAAAAUAUAAUUCUAAACUAAUGUACACAUUCCAUUGAGAUAUAAAGACUCCAUGGGAAAAGUGAUACUUUGUGGUUCACCUAAGAUGUUCAGAAUGGUAUUAAAUUUAAAGAAAAGCCUUAUAAAGUUACACACAACAGUAACAGGCCUGAGAACUGGGUGAAUUUUCAAGCUUGUAAAGAGUGACUAAAGAAAUUAAGAGGAAGGAAAUGGAAGAUGAAAGCAAACUAGUGAGAAAUACAUAAAUGGAUUGAAAGAGCAUCUGCAAAUAUAUUUAAAAAAGGAGCAAAUGUUGAUCCCAUGAAAUAGGUAUGUUACAAUACUUACCUUCAGCGGCUCUGCAAUUCUGCCACUGGCCAUGUGCGCGAUUUUGGCGCCUUUGAGGGGGGGGGUUAAAACGCGUUUUUUUUCCUACCUUGCCCUGGAUUAUAUUUGGUUGGAAUGCAAGCUUUUGCUGAAGAAUCGUUCCGACGGGCGUUCUGUGUAUUUUUUUUUUAAUCGCCCGACAGGUUCAGCGCUGGAGUAAUUUUAAAAUCAGCUUCUAAAGCCGUCAACGACGACAACGGGGACGGAUUUCACGCACGGACAGAAGAGCGAGCAGAAGCAGGACACGACUGUUUAUUUGUUAUAGAGGAGGAAACAUCAGUGAGAGAGGACUUGAGGGAUGUACCCAUGGAUGACCCUGACAUCACAUUAUAUGUGGGCGGUAAUGCAUCCAUUGGACCGCGGGGUGAGAGGUUGUCUGGAUAUACAAUUAUUAAUCAAAAGACAGAAAUUGUAGAAGCAGCUGCUUUUGAAUCACCCUAUUCAGUGCAAUAAGCUGAAUUAUUCACUUUAAUUCAGGCUUGUAUUAUUGGGGAAGGAUCUAAAAGUAAAAAUCUACACUGAUUCUCGAUAUGCAUUUGGGGUGGUGCAUGAUUUUGGACAAUUGUGGAGGAAUAGGGCAUUUCUAACUUCUGCAGGAACCCAAAUAUCACACAAACAAUUGGUGACAAAUUUAUUGAAGGCCUUAAUGCUACCCAGACAAAUCUCUGUAAUAAUAUGUAGUGCCCAUACUAAAGGACAGACCCCAGUAGACAUUGGAAAUCAUAAUGCCGAUUUAGUAGCCAAAGGAGUAUCAUCGGAACGUAAGGUGGUGGUACCUAGAAUGAUGAGGCAGACUAAAAGUGUAACUAACAAGUCCCCCUAGGAGAAGCUGAUGCUGACCAUCCAAGAAUUGUUCGAUUACAAGAAGAGGCUAUUGAAGGAGAUAAGGAGAGAUGGAGACACCUAGGAUGUGUACUGAAUUAUAUGCUAAAUUAAAGACACAUAAAAUGAAGGAUCCCUGCAUGUGUCAGAAUUGCUUAACCUUGUCAGCUGAACUUUACUGGCUUUGAUUGGCUCCAGCCAGUCUAGGCUCAGACUGAUAUGCAGGAUGGUAAGGGGUACAGGUGUUCUCCCUGUUUCUCUUAAAUUGAUAACAUGUGUAGUGGUUUUGCAAACUAACCUUAAAUGCAUCAUUUCUAUUGGUUUGCUGCAAAAGCAUUGUAAACAGUAUACAUAAUGGUGCAAGAUGGUCAUCCUGUUAAUUGAUGAUUGGUCGAACUGUUGAGCCUUGGAGAAAUUGUUUGAAUCUCAGGGCACAUGUUUCAAUGUUUGUUCUUGUUAGCUUCCUUCAAGAGCUUUCUUUCUUAUACAAUGUAUGAGCUGUGGUAUUAUUGGGUUAGGGAAAUGUCUGUUAUGUAUGGGGUUAAUCGAUAUCUACCAAUCGAACCAAUGUCCAACAACAUUGGGAAAAUGGAAAUCUGCUCAACAAAGAUCAUUAGAUUUUUCAGACGGAAUAAAAUCAAAAGAAGUUCACAACACAAGAGAAUUAAUUGUCAUGUUGGUUGAAACAGAAAUGUUCAUUCAAUCCCAUUUCUCUGCUCUUGGUCUAUCAACCUGUACUUACAGCAUAACAAAGAGGUGGGAGAUUGCAACCUUCACGUGGUCCACCCUGUUUCGACGAAUGCAAUCAACCUGAUGUGCUCAAUCAAAUAAGAUCAAAUAGAACAAGUUGUCCUCCAACUUGUGCAAGAAGAAGCAACAUUACAAGCCUUCAUCUAAGAAUGUUUUUAAUGCAAAGAGAAUUACUUGCUCUAUAUAACCAUAUAACAAUUACAGCAUGGAAACAGGCCAUCUCGACCCUUCUAGUCCGUGCCGAACACGUAUUCUCCCCUAGUCCCAUAUACCUGCGCUCAGACCAUAACCCUCCAUUCCUUUCCCGUCCAUAUAACUAUCCAAUUUAUUUUAAAUGAUAAAAACGAACCUGCCUCCACCACCUUCACUGGAAACUCAUUCCACACAGCCACCACUCUCUGAGUAAAGAAGUUCCCCCUCAUGUUACCCCUAAACUUCUGUCCCUUCAUUCUCAAGUCAUGUCCUCAACUCUACUGCUCUGUUAAGCAGUGAACUUCAAACCACCACCAACCAAAAGAUGAAGGCAUUUUUUUUCAAAUCCCUUCUAUUCCUUCCACCAGUUAUCUUAUGUUGUCUUAUCUGAAUAUAGAACAUAGGACAUAGAUCAAUACAGCACAAGAACAGGGCCUUCGACCCACAAUGUCUAUGCCUAGCAUGAUGCCAAGACCAACUCAUAUCUGCAGCCACAUAAUCCAUAUCCCUCCAUUCCCUGCACACCCAUGUGCCUAUCUAAAGGUCGCUUAAAUGCCAUUAUCGUAUCUGCCACCACCACCAACCACGACAGCGCAUUCCAGGCACUCAUCCCUCUGUAAAAAAAUGUGCCCUGCACAUCUCCUUUAAACUUUGCCCCUCUCACCUUAAAGCUAUGCCCUUUAGUAUUUGACUUUUGAAAUCCUGGGAAAAUUAUUCUGACUGUCUACC